GACGAACGCUGGCGGCAUGCCUAACACAUGCAAGUCAAGGGGUAGCAAUACCACUGGCGCACGGGUGAGUAACACGUAGGUUAUCUGCCCCCAUCACAGACAUAACCUCGGGAAACCGAGGCUAAUAUCUGAUGAGGUCGUGAGAUCAAAGCUUCGGCGGAUGGGGAUGAGCCUGCGGCUGAUUAGCUAGUUGGUGGGGUAAUGGCCUACCAAGCCGACGAUCGGUAGCUGGUCUGAGAGGAUGAUCAGCCACACUGGGACUGAGACACGGCCCAGACUCCUACGGGAGGCAGCAGUGGGGAAUAUUGGACAAUGGGCGCAAGCCUGAUCCAGCAAUGCCGCGUGAGUGAUGAAGGCCUUAGGGUUGUAAAGCUCUUUCGCACGUGACGAUGAUGACGGUAACGUGAGAAGAAGCCCCGGCUAACUUCGUGCCAGCCGCCGCCGUAAUAC
rnacentral:rRNA from 1 species